AGUGAACGCUGGCGGUAGGCCUAACACAUGCAAGUCGAACGGCAGCACAGGAGAGCUUGCUCUCUGGGUGGCGAGUGGCGGACGGGUGAGGAAUACAUCGGAAUCUACUUUUUCGUGGGGGAUAACGUAGGGAAACUUACGCUAAUACCGCAUACGACCUACGGGUGAAAGCAGGGGAUCUUCGGACCUUGCGCGAUUGAAUGAGCCGAUGUCGGAUUAGCUAGUUGGCGGGGUAAAGGCCCACCAAGGCGACGAUCCGUAGCUGGUCUGAGAGGAUGAUCAGCCACACGGGAAAUGAGGAACGGUACAGACUCCUACGGGGGGCAGCAAGGGGGAGUAUUGGACAAUGGGCGCACGCCGGAUCCAGCCAUACCGGGUGGGUGAAGAAGGCCUUCGGGUUGUAAAGCCCUUUUGUUGGGAAAGAAAUCCAGCUGGUUAAUACCCGGUUGGGAUGACGGUACCCAAAGAAUAAGCACCGGCUAACUUCGUGCCAGCCGCCGCCGUAA
rnacentral:rRNA from 1 species